rnacentral:misc_RNA from 1 species
CGUCACCCGUAACUUACUUCGAGGCUUAACGCAUUGCGUCACUCGCAUAAUGUGACUUCCUUUUACGAGGAAAUAAAACUCCUGUCUUUUCUGAAUCAUUUAAUCCGGUUAUAAACUCAUGGGAUCCCGCAUGUUUUACUUAAUAUACUGUUUUAUUUAUGCUGGUAUCACGUGGUAGCGGAUGUCUCCAGAAUGUUCAUUCAGGAAUCUCCUUUGAAGGCAGCCUAUUCCAGGAACUUUAUUUAUGAUUUUAUGUCUAUUUAUUGAUUACUGUGUAUCUAUUAUUUAUUUAUAACUUAGGGUAUUUAUCAAUGCAGUCAUAAUGGAUUCCUAGAAAAGCUUAUAUAGUAUUCAGGAAGAAUUGUGUUUUAAAAAAUAUCAAUAUUUUAUUGAACUUACGUAUAUGUCAAACAUGAUUUGCAUGUUUACAUAAAAAGUGAGAUACGCAUACAAAUGGUAUGCAAUGAUCAUAUAUGAGUAUCGGCAUUAUGACUUUGUUCACUCGUGAGGCAAUAUUACGGCCCGUGUUCUGUUUUAGGUGGUACAUGAGGACUUUGGUUUUUGGUAUGGGGUAUUAACUUCCGGUCUCUGGAAAUAGUCUCCGAGAACCUGUUAAAAAAAUUGAAAAAAAAUCUCUUAAGAGAUAAAAAAUUGCUUAAGAAAUUCUUCAUAAUUUUUACAUGUACUUACCAUAUUUAUAUAUAUAUAUCAUAAAUGGCAUUUUUACUAAUAUGCCAUUGGUUUUCCAUUUGUUUAAUCUCAAACCAACCGCCCAAUAAAUGAACCAGAACUAUUC